rnacentral:lncRNA from 1 species
CUGAGAAGGGGCCCAUUUGGGUUAUUUAGAUUCUAAGAACUGAAACUGCUUUGUUAGUUCUGUUUUUCUGGCUUCUGGGAGAGGAGGAGACAUGAAUUCAAUUAGCACCUUGGUAUUUUCUUUAUCCUUCAUUUCAAUAGAGGAGAUGCUUCAUAUGCACAGUGGUGUCAGGUCACAUCAAAAGAAAGAGAAACAGUUUCUUGGUUUUUAAUUUUCAACCAAAAAGGAAAGGCAUCCAUUUUGUUCCGCUCUAAUUAGCCAGUGCAUGACUUAGAGAGCAGGCAGAUGCUUUGAAGGCGUGGUCACACAGGUCUUCAUUAAUCUCCACACAGGACUUGCACUUCUACGAUGCCUAGGCUGAAGGAAAUGGCUCAGGAAGACGAACAAUCUCACAGAGCCCUAACUCACUCAAGCCAGGUGUUCUAAAGAACAAGUCAAGAGGCCUCCUCCGACCAAAGCCUGGGCUCAAUGAACAUUCAGUAAAGGAACACGGAAUGUCAACUGCAGUUGCACUAGAGACAACCUUGAGACACAUUCCUCUUGUGGGAACUGCUACCCAUUCUUUGCAUGGGAUCUGGAUGGAAUCUGGAUCACAGUGUUUUUACUCCCCAUUUUGCCUCACCAAGAGAAGUCAGCUGUGUUUUCUGCUGAGUCUCCAUAGGAACGUCAGUCCUGAAUCCUCAGACCACCACCUGGAGUAGUAAGUGCUCCUGACCAUCCUAGAAGGCGUCUACUGCUGGAUCUCCAAAGCAUGUGACACACCGUAAGAGAGAAAUGAGAAUGCUGAGCUCUUCAGGUAAAGCCUGCUUUUUCACAAGCCCCCUAAUUUUACAACAUAA